CGAACGCUGGCGGCGUGCUUAACACAUGCAAGUCGAGCGGUAAGGCCCUUUCGGGGGUACACGAGCGGCGAACGGGUGAGUAACACGUGGGUGACCUGCCCUCAGCUCUGGGAUAAGCCCGGGAAACUGGGUCUAAUACCGGAUAUGACUCCAUGACGCAUGUUGUGGGGUGGAAAGCCUUGUGCGGCUGAGGAUGGGCCCGCGGCCUAUCAGCUUGUUGGUGGGGUGAUGGCCUACCAAGGCGACGACGGGUAGCCGGCCUGAGAGGGCGACCGGCCACACUGGGACUGAGAUACGGCCCAGACUCCUACGGGAGGCAGCAGUGGGGAAUCUUGCGCAAUGGGCGAAAGCCUGACGCAGCGACGCCGCGUGA
rnacentral:rRNA from 1 species